UACGGGGGGGGGUAAGCGUUGUUCGGAAUUACUGGGCGUAAAGGGCGCGUAGGCGGCCUUCUAAGUCGAACGUGAAAUCCCCGGGCUCAACCCGGGAACUGCGUCCGAUACUGGAAGGCUUGAAUCCGGGAGAGGGAUGCGGGAAUUCCAGGUGUAGCGGUGAAAUGCGUAGAUAAUCUGGAGGAACACCGGGUGGCGAAGG
rnacentral:rRNA from 1 species